CAGGCUUGCCGGAAUGAGGGAGAUUCGGGGAGCGGGGAGAUAAUGGGCGCCCCUCUCCGUAGAGGGCCAACCAGACGGGAUUCUCCGUGGGACUCAGAACUUUAAUGUAGGAGUGACGACCGCCCCUCCUCCCAGGACACCAAAGGAACCCAAGUGGAAAAUUCUCAGGACCCAUGAGAGAAAAAUGAACAUUUCUUCUGCAGCUUUUUAGAGUUCUUGAAUAUGGACACUGGGAAGACAUGGUGGGCGAAGCAGAGCCUUCUCGGAGCCUUACAGUUUAGAAGUGGAGAUGGGCGUUGAUCAAAUAAUCAUCCAAAUAAUAUGCAAAACUGCAACUGUGUUCUGGAGGCAAGAAGUCCAAGAUCAAGAUGUCAGCAGGGUUCCACAAAAUGGGGGAAAAUAUUUGCAAAUGAUGUGACCGACAAGGGAUUAAUCUCCAAAAUAUACAAACAGCUCAUGCAGCUCUAUGUCAAAAAAACAAACAACCCAAUCAAAAAAUGGGCAGAAGACCUAAAUAGGCAUUUCUCCAAAGAAGACAUAGAGAUGGCCAAGAAACAUAUGAAAAGAUGCUCAACAUCACUAAUUAUCAGAGAAAUGCAAAUCAAAACUCCAGUGAAGUAUCACCUCACACCAGUCAGAAUGGCCAUCAUCAAAAAGUCUACAAACAAUAAAUGCUGGAGAGGUUGUGGAGAAAAGUGAACCCUCCUACACUGUUGGUGGGUAUGUAAAUUGGUACAUCCCCUAUGGAGAACAGCAUGGAGGCUCCUUAAAAAACUUAAAAGAGAACUACUGUAUGAUCCAGCAAUCCUACUCCUGGCAUACAUCCAGAGAAAACCAUAAUCCAAAAGGAUACAUGCACCCCAAUGUUCAUUGCAGCACUAUUUACAAUAGCCAAGACAUGGAAGCAACCUAAAUAUCCAUUGACAGAGGAAUGGGUAAGGAAGAUGUGGUACAUAUAUACAAUGGAAUAUUACUUAGCCAUAAAAAAUAAUGAAAUAAUGCCAUUUGCAGCAACAUGGAUGGACCUAGAGAUUAUCAUACUAAGUGAAGUAAGUCAGAGAAAGACAAAUAUAUGAUAUCACUCAUAUGUGGACUCUAAUUAUUUAAAAAAGGUACAAAUGAACUUAUUUACAAAACAAACUUACAGAUAUUGAAAACAAACUUACGGUUACCAAAGGGGAAACAUGGUGGGUGGAUAAAUCAGGAGCUUGGUAUGAACACACACUGCUAUAUAUAAGAUAGAUAACCACUAAGGACCUACUGUAUCGCACAGGGAACGCUAUUCAAUAUUCUGUGAUAACCUGUAUGAGUAAAGAAUCUACAAAAGAAUGAAUGUAUGUAUAUGUAUAAGUGAAUCGCU